rnacentral:rRNA from 1 species
AUGGGGGAUCUGGGAAAUGCCUUGUCGUCGUCGUCGUGCCGGGGCGGGCGGGACCCGGCCGGGUUCGGGCUGGCGCUGGCCCGGCUGGUGCGGAGGCGGAGCAAGAUGCUGCUGUGCACGGCGGCUCCCAUGGGCGCGUCCUCCCGGUGCCGCCAGUACGACCCGCUGAGCUACGCGUGCAACUUUGACCGCGACGGCUUCGGCUCCGCGCUGGACGACGACGUCACCGGCGCUGGCCACCUCAGCCACCACUACACCUUCGCCUCGCGCUUCGUGCUCGCCUCCUCCAACGCCCGCCAGCCGCACUCGGAUGCUGCCGCUGGCCGGCGAGCGAGCUUGGCGCAAGUAGCACUAGCUAGCGUAGCCAGAGCUGCUCUGUUUUUUGUUUCGUUCUUUGUCCCCCGGCUUCAACCAGCGGAGUAG